rnacentral:lncRNA from 1 species
GGGCAGGGCCUUGUGAACUCUUUUUGGUGGUCGGUGGAUUGCCUCGUCUGUCUACUUGAAAUUGGACUAAGGUCGAGAUGUGAUAGUGUUUUGAUCAAGUGUUUGAAAGUACUAAUCUCAUACCUAGUAUAGGAUGGGGAAGCCUAGUACCUGAUUGAACUUGGACGUGAGCGGUUCAAUCUACUGUCUCUGGAACAGAGUUUCCCUUGUGGCCGCAUGUGAUGACAAGUGUGGUCACAGAACGGCAGAGGCCGGGUCUGUGGAACCUUGUAUCAAGAGAACUGGGCCCGAC